AGUGAACGCUGGCGGUAGGCCUAACACAUGCAAGUCGAACGGCAGCACAGUAAAAGCUUGCUCUUACGGGUGGCGAGUGGCGGACGGGUGAGGAAUACAUCGGAAUCUACUUUUUCGUGGGGGAUAACGUAGGGAAACUUACGCUAAUACCGCAUACGACCUACGGGUGAAAGCAGGGGAUCUUCGGACCUUGCGCGAUUGAAUGAGCCGAUGUCGGAUUAGCUAGUUGGCGGGGUAAAGGCCCACCAAGGCGACGAUCCGUAGCUGGUCUGAGAGGAUGAUCAGCCACACUGGAACUGAGACACGGUCCAGACUCCUACGGGAGGCAGCAGUGGGGAAUAUUGGACAAUGGGCGCAAGCCUGAUCCAGCCAUACCGCGUGGGUGAAGAAGGCCUUCGGGUUGUAAAGCCCUUUUGUUGGGAAAGAAAAGCAGCAGGUUAAUACCCCGCUGUUCUGACGGUACCCAAAGAAUAAGCACCGGCUAACUUCGU
rnacentral:rRNA from 1 species